GUCCGGAUAGUAUAAUGGUAGUACGCGUGGUUCAUGCCCACGAAAUAGAGGUUCAACCCCUCUUCCGGAUA
rnacentral:tRNA from 1 species